AUUCCACAGUCUCCUUCUUAACCCAUCCCACAUUUCCUCCUUUGCCCAUCUCAGAACGACCUCGUACCGAUGUCAAUGCUUCGUCCUCGCAAGCGGCUGGUUUGAUUACGACCUAGGUUUUUCUCUAGGGUUUGGGACCGCUCCGGCACUAGCUUCCAUCCAAUCCUAUUUGAAUUCACUCCAUUUCGGUGUGGGGGGUUGGUGGAAGCUGUAGGAGCUGAUUUGGAAUUUUGGGGGUGAUCGUUUCUAGGUUUUGGAACAAACAAAUGAGGGAAAACAAUGUUACAAAGCCGAUGGGAUAUAAUGGGAUGCUCUUCGUGUGAAGCAAAGCACGCAAAAUAGCAAGCUGGCCAACUUGCAGAAUGCAUUUGAGUCUCCAUUAAUUGUUAUUUUAAAGAAGGAGCCAAAAAGGAGAAGGAUCUCCCUGGUGCUUUGGAUGAUGCUGCAGUAACCGAGGUCCUAGAACUUCAUAAGCUUAAAAACUGUCAAUGGGCCAUUUUUAAGACAAGCUAUUAAGGAAGAAGGACUUUUCGAGGGCUUGGAGUGGCAUUCCAUAUUAUCUUGACUUACUUGCCAGAAACUCGAAGAACAACUGGUUGAUUUAUCGGCUUUGCUUUAUGAUCAUCGGCUGGUGGAAGCACAUCACAAUAGUUAUGAGAUACUCCAAAGCACUUUCUUCACUUAAAGGUGAUCAAUCCCAUCCUUUUUCUUUUUAUUUCACCAUUUUCAUUUAAACUCCUUUAUUCUAGACAAUCUAUAUAUAAUUCCAAUAUGAUAUAUCUUUAUAUAUAUAUAUAUAGUCUCCUGGUAACAGAUAUUUUUUUUAUCGUGAUACUGCACACUGAAUAUCUGUUUGUUUGACUUUUUAUUUCACAUCAUGGAAACAUUCAAAUCAACGGUUGAUAUUGGCCAAUAUGUUCAACGCCUCUUAUUCGACACGCGCAUAACCAUUCCAAGUCCCAACCACCAAUCUCCAGUUUUAUUUACAUUUAGUGCUAUUUGAUGAGGCGAAAGUAGUUGAGUUUUCAAUUGUUUGUUGGUAAAGAUCAGGUUAUUGCAAUACCAAUCCUCAAAGAGAAGGAUCACUAUCUAGAGCUUGUGGAGCAAGCAUCUCAAACAUAAGAAGGGCAUGAUGAGCUUCCUAUUAUGGAUGAAACAACUUUGUAUUAUGAGGCUGUUGGGGGAGGAAAGAAAAGUUGGGUUUAUGGAAUAGGGUCCCAAGAGUGUAUCUUUUAUCCACAUUCAUCUUCGAGUUUGUCCACAGGUUCAUCAUAUGAGGAACUACAUGCUGAGGUUAGAGGUUUGCUUCAAACUCUUAGUCAAGUCCAAGAUCGUGAGGGGAGGCUUCAACAAACACUUGGCCAAGUACAAGAUAAUAACAAGGAGCUUCAACAAAGUUUGCUUGAAAUGAAAGAGGAGAGGGACCAAUAUCGUGCGGAGAUGAUGCGUCCAAUGAAGGACAUGAUGAUGAAUUUUAAGAAAAGGAUUCUUCAGUAGUCGCAGUUUACCACACAGGACUCACAACCAUUACUGAUAAUCAUGAUGUUAACUUAUAGUUGUAUUUGUCGUAUACUUAUUAUUUUGUGUUGAACAUAUAUACUUAGACAUUUUUUUUGUAUGAACUGAUGAG